rnacentral:rRNA from 1 species
AUGAACGCUGGCGGCGUGCCUAAUACAUGCAAGUCGAGCGAACAGAUAAGGAGCUUGCUCCUUUGACGUUAGCGGCGGACGGGUGAGUAACACGUGGGUAACCUACCUAUAAGACUGGAAUAACUCCGGGAAACCGGGGCUAAUGCCGGAUAACAUUUAGCACCGCAUGGUUCUAAAGUGAAAGAUGGUUUUACUAUCACUUAUAGAUGGACCCGCGCCGUAUUAGCUAGUUGGUAAGGUAACGGCUUACCAAGGCAACGAUACGUAGCCGACCUGAGAGGGUGAUCGGCCGCACUGGAACUGAGACACGGUCCAGACUCCUACGGGAGGCAGCAGUAGGGAAUCUUCCGAAAAGGGCGAAAGCCUGACGGAGCAACGCCGCGUGAGUGAUGAAGGUCUUCGGAUCGUAAAACUCUGUUAUUAGGGAAGAACAAAUGUGUAAGUAACUGUGCACGUAUUGACGGUACCUAAUCAGAAAGCCACGGCUAACUACGUG